UCCACAUUAAGGCAAGGAACAAUGAAAUGUUAAUAUCAAGAGUUAUGGCCUCAUUUCCAAGAUGAGUUUGUAUGAUUAUUACUGAGAGUACAUAAUUGGAAGCAGACAGGACGCCUGAAGUGCCAAAGAAAAGAUGGGUCAGUUCAGUUUUAUCUCAUAAUCAAAGUGCCAGAAUCAGAUGCCCAAUCCACAAUAUCUCAGUGCACUAUAAGAAGCUCUUAGUUCAUGAAAAAGGGAAGAAAAAAACAUACACAAGAUAAGAAUCUACAAUAAAAGAUGCAGGUCAACUUCUCAACUUGGAUAUACUUUAGUCACCACUAUGGGAGGACCAUCUACCAUGCUUCACAAGUUCUAGUCCCAUCUUUAAAGAUGUAAUGUAACAGCCUUCCUUACUAAUUUCUUCAUGGUUCUAGGCUUCUUUUUAUUAUGCUUCUUGUCCUGAUGGCAUAAUAGGGUAGACAGGGGUUUAUUACAGCUUUAAGCUGAUCUACUUUCAACUCCUAAUAUCACCAAUAGAGCUAUUCAUUGUGGUGAUCUAAAUGUUUUUAUUUUGCAUAUAUUGUCCUCAAUGCACGAGACUUCUAGUUUUUAUGAAGGUCUUUUGCAUUUCUAAAGUAGGAAAGGAUCUAAGAUUA